ensembl:lncRNA
CAUCACCGCUAGUAGACAACAGCGACUUCUCGCGAUAGUUCAUGAUAGCGAAGACUCAUCUAAAUUGACAGAGAGGGACGGGUUAUAGUCGGCAAAAGGGGACAAACUCACGGUCUCUUUAAUGAACGCUAUAGCUGAAUGAAGAAGGGCCUCGCUGUCUUGAUCUCGGUCCCAGCGGCCCGUGAAAUGAGCGUGUGCGCAGGGUGCGAGGUGACGGCCGAGUGGCAGCGCGCGCAGUAAGCACAUUUUCCGCGCGAGGCUAAUUAAACCUCCACAGAAUAAGUGGCGUCCUAUUAGCGCUUCAGAAGCCCGUUCCGUUAAUAAAGCAACCUGGAUCGAUGCCCUUCAUUACCUUGUGUGCGGUUCCUCUCUAAAUAAAUGCUUAAAAUACAGGAUAGCCCAAAGCUGUUGCUGGUGAAACAGCGUUUAAGAAAGAUAUCAGAGAGUCUAAACCGUGAUUACACGUGCCAAAUAUGACUGAGCCACUGAUCUCCCUGCACUCUUCUGCCCAUCUCCUUUCUUUGUCAUAAAGGAGCGGAGUUUGAUAAAGAGCAAAUUUUCUCUCCUUUUCAUUAUCACUCGCUCUCUCUACCUCAUUUGCCACCGCCGAGAAGACACUCUUAGGGAUCCGGAGCUGAGAGGGAACGACAGAGGGGAGUGACGCAAGACCUCACACUUGCAGUUUUGGGCGAUGACCAGCAGAGGGAGAUGACCAUCAACCUCAAACCACCCUCUGAAGAGUGCAGAAGCACAGACUGAAUCGAUUGUAAUUAUCUAGUCAUGAUGUCUUACAGACAUCAGUGGGCAGUUGGGUCGCCGGGUUUCUCCUGGUUUUUUCUACACCCCCCUCAUUCUCCCUCUUUGGUUGGAGUUUGGCAGACUCAGCAGAACAGGAGCAACGCUACAGUCACUGACCUUCAGGGGCGAGAGAGGGAGGUGCGGCCAGACAGAGGGGUGUGUGAGAGAGAGAGAGAGAGAGAGAGAGAAAGAGAGCCAUUGGCAGCUGCAAGGAAAUGCUUUACAUGAAUGCUAGGGCACAGGCCACAGUGGUUCAACAACAGAUUAUGUGACCUGCUGCUGCCCUCACCUCUUUUGCUUUCUUUCUUUUUUUCUUUAGUUUUUUUUUUUUUUUUCACUGUAUUGUUCUUUCUCUUUAACCUCUGCCUGUACUUCCAAGACCCCAUAAAACAAAAAUCAAAGACCACACAAAAAAAAAAAAAAAAAAAAAAAUGAUGGAAAUUUCUACCAAAAGCACAAUGACACAUUUAUAUAGAUAAUAUAAAAUACUUAAUGGCUAUAUUGACCAGGACUUUAUAGUUACAUAAACGCAAAACACUCAUUUUGAGUUUGCAUCAUAAGGGACUUACAGAAUAUGGAUUAGUGGGGUAAUGAAACAAACUGAGAUUUCAUUUGUAAAUAAUAUAUUACCUGGGACUUUGCCCAUGGGUAACUAAUUACCAACACUAACACUCAUAAGGCAUUAAACUAAUGGAUGCAUACAUAAACAUGUACACAUUGGUUUCCACAGAUGUCUAAAAUUUCAUUUACAUUUAUAUUUAAUCAUUUAGCAGAUGCUUUUUAUCCAAAGUGACUUAGAAAUGAGGAAAAGUACUAGCAAUUUAUCAUACAAGAGAGUAUACAAAAGCUGGAGAAAAAAUGCAAGAAGUACAGGAAAAAGAAGAAAAAAUAAGUUUCCGGUAUGCCACGUAAAACUGGCCUCAUGAAAGAAAAUGCUCAGCAAGCUCAACUAAAAAGAGAAAGUCUUCAUGGACUACAUUGUACACUGUAAAAAAUAUUUUGCAGUUUAGUUGUUUCAAUUAAUUUUUUUUUUAAGUUGACAACUUGCAGUUUAUGAAUUUGUUCAUUCAACUUAAUAUUUUACAUUUUCACUGUCUCAACUAGUUCGUAAGUUGACAAAACUAGCUAAUUGCCCCCUCAGCUUAAAAAAAAAAUGUGUUUUCAAAUUAAUAACGAUUUCACGAUCUUAACGUCACUUAUCGCAAGAUCUCGUGAAGACCAUUGCAGAAAGAAGACGUUCGACUGCCAUCUUGGUGAGCUUCUCCAGAGAGUUUGAAAAUGUUCUCAAACAACAAAUUUGGUAAGUAAUUAUUUGUAUUUAUUGUAUUAAUAUGUGUACAAUUAUGUAUAGAAAAAGAUCAAUCAGUAUUUCUGAAUUUAAAAAAUGGAUAAUACAGUUUUUUUUAAAUACUUGUUUAUUAAGCUUUUCUAUUACAUAUGCAUGGCUAUUUAAAGAGAAAUAACAUUUUAUAAAAUGUUUGAUAAUGUAGGACUAAUAUUAAUUUCCCCCAGUAGUUUUUAAUCAUGUUCCCAUAAAAAAGUGUAUAUUCUGUGUUUACAAUGUUAUCAACAAUAGAAUUUUAUGAUGUAUUAUUUUGCUUAUAUCUAACCCAAAUGCAUGAGAAAACAUGAGUAUGUUAUGAAUAUCUUACAAAUUCAUAUGAUGUGAUUGGUAGGAAUAAAAACUAAAUUCUGGUUCCAAUAAUUCCCAGAUUUGACGUUGGACAUCAAGCUGCUCAAGUACCAAACUCAUAUUU